rnacentral:rRNA from 1 species
CGUGAAGUCGGAAUCGCUGUAAUCGCGGAUCAGCAUGCCGCGGUGAAUACGUUCCCGGGCCUUGUACACACCGCCCGUCACACCAUGAGAGUCGGGAACACCCGAAGUCCGUAGCCUAACCGCAAGGAGGGCGCGGCCGAAGGUGGGUUCGAUAAUUGGGGUGAAGUCGUAACAAGGUACC